rnacentral:ncRNA from 2 species
AAAAGUGUUAGAGGUUGCAUCUUUGAUAAUUAACUUGUCAGAAGCUUUAUGGAGCGAAUGUUGAAUGAGUCAAAGGCAAAGAUGCCGAAAUAUAUAAUAACCAUAACUAUUGUAUAUUGGGACAGUUUCCGAAUAGGAGCUGGACUGUCACAUAAUGUGAUGUGCUACCGUAUAU